GAGGACUUAGUGACGCAGCUAACGCAAUAAGUAGACCGCCUGGGGAGUACGGCCGCAAGGUUAAAACUCAAAUGAAUUGACGGGGGCCCGCACNAGCGGUGGAGCAUGUGGUUUANUUCGAUGCAACGCGAAGAACCUUACCUGGUCUUGACAUACACAGAAUCUUGUAGAGAUACGAGAGUGCCUUCGGGAAUUGUGAUACAGGUGCUGCAUGGCUGUCGUCAGCUCGUGUCGUGAGAUGUUGGGUUAAGUCCCGCAACGAGCGCAACCCUUGUCCUUAGUUACCAGCGGGUUAAGCCGGGAACUCUAAGGAUACUGCCAGUGACAAACUGGAGGAAGGCGGGGACGACGUCAAGUCAUCAUGGCCCUUACGACCAGGGCUACACACNUGCUACAAUGGUAGGUACAGAGGGCAGCUACACAGCGAUGUGAUGCGAAUCUCAAAAAGCCUAUCGUAGUCCAGAUUGGAGUCUGCAACUCGACUCCAUGAAGUAGGAAUCGCUAGUAAUCGCGGAUCAGAAUGCCGCGGUGAAUACGUUCCCGGGCCUUGUACACACCGCCCGUCACACCAUGGGAGUUGANUGCACCAGAAGUGGUUAGCCGAACCUUUUAGGACGGC
rnacentral:rRNA from 1 species